rnacentral:misc_RNA from 1 species
GAUGAAGAACGUAGCGAAAUGCGAUAAGUAAUGUGAAUUGCAGAAUUCAGUGAAUCAUCGAAUCUUUGAACGCACAUUGCGCCCGCCAGUAUUCUGGCGGGCAUGCCUGUUCGAGCGUCAUUACAACCCUCAGGCCCCCGGGCCUGGCGUUGGGGAUCGGCGGAGCCCCCCGUGGGCACACGCCGUCCCCCAAAUGUAGUGGCGGUCCCGCCGCAGCUUCCAUCGCGUAGUAGCUAACACCUCGCGACUGGAGAGCGGCGCGGCCACGCCGUAAAACACCCAACUCUUCUGAAGUUGACCUCGAAUCAGGUAGGAAUACCCGCUGAACUUAAGCAUAUCAAUAAGCGGAGGA